rnacentral:misc_RNA from 1 species
UUUCCCGAGUUUGCGCAAAGGAUUCAUUGAGGAUUUAUUCUCGUUUCCUGUGUACAUGCUUGGGGAGUUUGAUGGUCGGUCACAUGUCUUUGACCUCUGUCCUCGAGCUUCCGAAUAUCUGCACCGUUUGGCUAAGGCUAGUCACUAUACGAUUGACUCUGGUGAGGGAGAUGGUUAUAUGCUGGCUUCGGCUGGCGAGUACGGUYCGGAUUGAAAYGGAACGUGCUUAUGAUUGGCCCGAUAUUGUACGUUAUCGCGCUCAGUGGUCCGUCGGUUGCCUUCCUCACAAGUAGACUUGACGUGCAUAGCGYGGAGUGAUGCUUUGGAUGGCGUAACCGUCGUGUAGCAUUGGCGCAUGAGAUGUGUUGGACCUGUGACUGCUGGGAGGCCCCCCGCCCUUGUGCGGCUGACUCUCGGCGCCUGUGUCCCUUCARUCCCGUGGGCACCAUGCCCGACCCUCAUCGAGUGCUUGCGUGCUGCUACCUGUUCAUCGGGAAKUUGCAUUCGCUACAAGUUGCCUUCGUCGCGUCCACCCUUUGGGUGCGAUGCGUCGGCUCUAUGGCCAAUUGUCGUUGCCUCGUGGUAAUGGUCUUAUCRGCCAAGUCCACCAAGGCURCCUCGUUUGUGCUAUUGAUCUUGGAUGACGCUAACGAUAUAGGGUGAGGCAGCUUCGGCUCCUCAUUCCUUUCAAAGUUGGAACCUUCAAAUCAACGACAGUCGGCCCGGUUGAUGCCUAGUGUAGAAACCGUUGUCGCCUUGUCGAGGAGGACGUGCUACCUGGUUGAUCCUGCCAGUAGUCAUAUGCUUGUCUCAAAGAUU